rnacentral:rRNA from 1 species
AGCGAACGCUGGCGGCAGGCCUAACACAUGCAAGUCGAACGAACCCUUCGGGGUUAGUGGCGGACGGGUGAGUAACACGUGGGAACGUGCCUUUAGGUUCGGAAUAACUCAGGGAAACUUGUGCUAAUACCGAAUGUGCCCUUCGGGGGAAAGAUUUAUCGCCUUUAGAGCGGCCCGCGUCUGAUUAGCUAGUUGGUGAGGUAAUGGCUCACCAAGGCUACGAUAAGUAGCUGGUCUGAGAGGACGACCAGCCACAUUGGGACUGAGACACUGCCCAAACUCCUACGGGAGGCAGCAGUGGGGAAUCUUGCGCAAUGGGCGAAAGCCUGACGCAGCCAUGCCGCGUGGAUGAUGAAGGUCUUAGGAUUGUAAAAUCCUUUCACCGGUGAAGAUAAUGACUGUAGCCGGAGAAGAAGCCCCGGCUAACUUCGUGCCAGCAGCCGCGGUAAAAC